rnacentral:tRNA from 1 species
GUCAAUAUGUCUGAGUGGUUAAGAAGACUGACUUGAAAUCUGUUGGGCUUUGCCUGUGUAGGUUCAAACCCUGUUGUCAACG